UUUGUGUUUAGGCUACCUGCCUCUCCCUACCUCAGCGAGAGGACACAGAGCGGGCAGUGAGGCGCGGCACGUGUAGGAACCCCCAGCCCGAACAAGAAGAGCUACAGCUUUGUAGGGACUCGAGAAAAGAACAUUUGUUGACCAUUGGAAACCACCCAUUUCUUUGCCUGUCGUCUAGGAACUGCCAGCCUGUUUUCCAAGGUGGCUGCACCAUUCUACAUUCAUGUCAGCCAUGUAUGGAGGUUCCAAUUU